rnacentral:rRNA from 1 species
UACGUAGGGUGCAAGCGUUGCCGGAAUUAUUGGGCGUAAAGAGCUCGUAGGCGGUUUGUCGCGUCUGCUGUGAAAACCCGAGGCUCAACCUCGGGCCUGCAGUGGGUACGGGCAGACUAGAGUGCGGUAGGGGAGAUUGGAAUUCCUGGUGUAGCGGUGGAAUGCGCAGAUAUCAGGAGGAACACCAAUGGCGAAGGCAGAUCUCUGGGCCGUAACUGACGCUGAGGAGCGAAAGCGUGGGGAGCGAACAGG